ensembl:lncRNA
CUUUUCAGGAAAUGUGCAUAUUUGUGUUAUGGUUUCUGUGAGAAAUACGGGAAAGAAGCUACUUGUGGGAGUACCUGCUGCAAAGGGAAGGGGGACACCAGGUGGUUGAAGAAGCCCAGACUUCUGAGUCCCGCUCCAGCUUCUUUUGUGGUGCUCAUCAAGUCUCCUCAUUUGUAUGCCCUGCUCCCAGGCAAAGGGUUUUUUUCUGAAAUGUUUCAUUUUAGUGAAGUGCUGGAUUUUUUUAAUAUUUGUUUUGCCGAGUAAUGGAAGUGCAUCCGGAUGGCUUCUGUACCAGAUGGGAGAGGGAUUACAGGAACUCACGUGGCAUUAGACCAAGAAAGCUGAGAAAUUAUCUAUGUCUGAAAGAGAGGGAAUUUUAGACCAGAGAAUGUUUGGUGAAGGGAAGAACAUGUCUUUUACUAACAGGUUUUUUUGUUCUUUCUUCUGGAGAAAAACCCAGUGAAUCUAAGUAUGAAAUCUUUUCCUGAGGUAUUACAUCCAAGUAGUGUUUCCUCCUUUUCUUCUGGAAGUGAAUUGAAAUUUUUGAAGACAAAAAGGUGGAGAAGAUCCCAUUUGAAAGAAAGAGAUGAAAUUCAAGUUUCUUCUCACUUCAGGAUGAAUGUACUACUAUGCAUCUACUUCAGUUACUGGAACAUUAUUGCUUCUGUUUUCUGAGGUAAGAAUCAGCAAUGGUUUUGGUAUUUGUCACUGAGUCUUGAAGAUACUCAAGUCAAGAAUCAAGCCAAAUUUUUAAACGAUUUUGUCGUUUAAAUUUCAUUUUUUUCUUCUGGUUCAGCCAGUGCUUUAGGGGAAUGUUAUCUGAUGAGAAAUUCAAACCACAGGAUUAUUUGGUCUGGAAUGGCUGAAGAAAUUGUGGGGGAUUUUUUUGCAUCACAGUACCUCCUGAGAUCUUCUGAAGCACAUUACUGUCUCAUGCCCAUCAUUUCAGCAGAACCUGGAUUUUAAUUCCCCUAAUUUAGGAGGUGACUGGUGAGAAUGGUUUACACUGGAGGUUCCUGCAGAGCUGGAACUGGUGUCUGAUCACUGACAGGGUGAAGACAGGGCUGAGCUCAGAAAGGUCACACCACACGUGCUUCCCUCACUGUGCUCUGCAAAGUGCCAUGGUUGGAACAGGGCAGAGCAUCACCUGGAGCACACACAGAGCCCGUGUCACUGUGUCAGCAGGGACCAUCAGAGCCAUGUUAGGGGCUGUGCUGGAGCCCCUGGAGCCAGCACUUAACAGGCCACAGCACUUUCUGCUAAGUGUUCAGGGCAGUAGCACAGCUAUUGCCUAACAUGUAUUCCUUCUGGAUCGUAACAGUUGUUCCUCUUCAAGGACGUGUGGGUCACGUUUGCUUUACAUCCAAGUAUAUUCUUCCAUCCUUUGUCAUAUAGGAGCUGAAGAUCUAUAAGGGCUUCCUUGUUUCGGUGCUUCUUUUAAGAAGAGUGUCUAAAAUAGGGAGCCAAUACCAAAUUUGGGGUUCUUUUUUAUAACCUCAUUACCUCUCUAAGCAUUGAUAGGACUCUGAUUUGUUCAGCUGCCAGGAUGAAAUUCUCCAGGCUGGCUUUUUACACAAAAGGAUUUUGUUUUAAGCAUUUAAAGUGUGAAAAUGUUUCUGUUUUUAGAAAUAAGUCACCUUUGACCAGAAAUGGAAAACUUCAAUAUAGAAGAUAA